AUGGCUGCGUUGCAUCAUCCUCAUGAUUGCUGGGGAACAUCUCCUAGCAUUCGAACGAUUGGAGGGAAGACCAUGGGGCACAAAGUGGCCUCAUCCGGUUUACAUCUUCAUUACUGCGCUUCUCACAUACCUGCUUACAUCUGGAAAAAAUCUCCAGGUGAUCGGGUGAGGAUGCACCAGGCUCAGGGAGAAAGAACUGACUUCUGCUGGGAUUCGAGGCAGACACGCUUCUCCUUAGACUUGGAAUUGGGAAGGAUUAAAUACAGAAGAGAUUGUAUCCCUGUUGGGACUGUGAUGGGGGAAGGACUCUGUUUCGGGUUUGCUUGCCUCCCCCGUCCCCCGCCACUUCACCGAGAGGAGAAGGCUUCCACCCUGUGUUGACCCUGGGCUUGCCCACAUGACUUGCCUUGGGGGCCUGGAGCCCUUACAUUUGGGCUCCAUCAUGCGACCUGCUGACCAGUGAGGUUGGCAGAUGUACCACAAGCAGAGGCCUGAAGUGUGCUGGUACGGUUGGGCUUGCCUUGUGCUCCCGCAGCCAUGAGAGCGUCCUCAGCCCAACCUCAGGAUGGAUCCCCGGCCUAUAUCGAGGAGCCAAGUUCAACCUGGACCCCCAUCAGAAGCAGAGCCAUCCAGAAUCCAACUCCAUUGACCCCCAGAGGAGGUGAAUAAGCCCAAUUGGCAUCAGCUGACCAGCAGAUAUCUGAGAAAUACCCUCUGUUUUGUUUUGUUUUGUUUUAAGAUUUUAUUUAUUCAUUCCUGAGAGACACACAUAGAGAGGCAGAGACAUAGACAGAGGGAGAAGCAGGCUCCAUGCAGGGAGCCUGAUGUGGGACUUGAACCCAGGACUCCAGGAUCACACCCUGGGCCAAAGGCAGGCACUAAACCGCUGAGCCACCCAGUGAUCCCUGUGGGGAGCGCGAUGAGGGACUUGAUCCCAGGACCCCGGGAUCACGCCCAAGGCAGACGCUCAACCAUGAAGCCCCCCAAGUACCCCUACCCUCUGAUAUUUUGUGUUGCUGGUUUGGUAGCUCAUUGUGAUAACAGCUAAUGGAUACAUCCUCUUUCAAUACGAGGCCAACGUGGCAGUGACAGGGCUAAGAGAUCAAAUAAGAGAAAUAAAGUAAUAAGCAUCAUUUAUUGAACAUCAUUUCUUUAAAAAAAAGAUUUUAUUUAUUUACUCAUGAGAGAGAGAGAAAGAGAGAGAGAGGCGAGACACAGGCAGAGGGAGAAGCAGGCUCCAUGCAGGGAGCCCAAUGUGGGACUUGAUCCCAGGUCUCCAGGAUCAGGCCCUGGACUGAAGGAGGCACCAGACCGCUGAGCCACCCAGGCUGCCUUAUUGAACAUCAUUUCAACCCCUGAUCAAGCUGUUCCUGGAGCCAGACUGCUUCUUGAACUUUCCCAUCCUGCGAGCCAAGAGAACCCAAGCCAACUCAGAUCAGAGUUUUGUCCUUGGAAACAGGCUCUGAUUGAACUGGAUACACACAGAACGUGCAAAGGACCUACCUGCCCCUGUGAUACAAACACACCUGCUAUACACACAUAUGUAUACAGGUGGAGCUAUCUGUUAAUAUGAAGACGUAAUUAGAAAGUAACCAACUGGAGAGGAAGAGGCUUAUGAUUAGUUCCCUGGGACACAGGUUCUGAGGUGGAGGUUUGCAGGCAGGUGAAUCCUGAGAACCUGUGAGAGAAGACAGAUCAGAAUGGGGCAGGUGAGAAGUUGGAUUGCAAUGGAUCUUCCACCAGAGACCUCAGGGGAUCCCAUGGGAAGCCCUGAAGCUGGGAUGGCCCCUCUGACUCGUCCCCAUGGAUGGGAGGGAGCCAGACCUUGUACCCACCCCACUGACUGAGGCACUGGAUGUGGGUGGGCCUCAGAGAGACAUUUAGCUGAGGGGAGGCUCUGAAGAGACUCAGCUGGGAGGUAGAGAGUCUUGGUCCUGAAGGGAAUGGAUGGUCAUGUGGGUGGCGUGGCGUAGUGUCCAUCGUAACCCGACGCAGGGAUCCCGAUGGUUUCUGGCCGAAAUCAUCGAACAGGUGAGCCAGAGUGUCACCUCAGCAGCAUUAUUUGACCUCCCUUGGCUUUGUAUUGUCAACAAAGGAGAGAUAAUCAGCCAGCAAGUAGGUAUUUAAUACGGAGAGGGUGCAAAAGGGCCCCGUACUCACAUCAUCAGAGAGACACUGGCAGUGACAGCAGCAGUUGUCUUCCAGAAGAGGCAGGACAAACUUGUCAUGGGAAGUCACGUCCCCGUCAGUUUUAUUCCUCACAGAAGCAAGAGUGAACUAGAAGCGCUGGCUGAGCCCCGACAUACAGGUUCCUGUGAUGACAGCGUCUGUGAAUUCAGCUGCUCCGGCUCCGAGGCUCCCACAGGCCCAGAGGAAGAGGCCUUCAGUCCCUGCUAAGGGAACCCAGACGUGGAGCGGCUCGCUGCUCCCCCAGCUGGCCUGGCGCGCCCCUUGGUGGCAAAUGGGGCCAGUCUCCCUUCAGCAUCCUUUCCCUCCCUCGGGGUAUCCUCCUUCUCCCCAUCCCACCUUUCUGACAUGAGUCUGGAGCCUCCUGGGUGCCCCCUUCGAAGGCGAAGGCGGGGUCGGGGAGCCCCUUACCUGCAGCUCCUCUGGCUGUGAAAUUCUGCGUCUUGACUUUUCAGCACCCCUGUGUGCAAAUGUGUCCCUUACAAUGCUGGAGAGAUUUGGGGUGAAGGGAAAGUAAUCCUAUUGGCAGCACAUCAUAAAUCCCAGACAUGGGGAUGCUGAAGGUGGGCCCUCGGGGAGCGCACAGGGCGACACUCAGGGCUGCGUGGCCUGGCACUCACAACUGGGCUGCGGACCGGGAGCUGGGCCGCGGAACCGGGAGGUGGGCCGCAGAACCGGGAGCUGGGCCGCAGAACCGGGAGCUGGGCCGCAGAACCGGGACCUAGGCCGCAGAACCAGGAGCUGGGCCGCAGAACCAGGACCUAGGCUGCAGAACCGGGACCUAGGCCGCAGAACCGGGACCUAGGCCGCAGAACCGGGAGCUGGGCCGCGGAACCGGGAGCUGGGCCGCAGAACCAGGACCUAGGCCGCGGAACCGGGAGCUGGGCCGCGGAACCAGGAGCGGGGCCACAGAACCAGGACCUAGGCUGCAGAACCGGGAGCUGGGCCGCAGAACCGGGUCUCAGGUAAGUUUAGGUUGCCAUGUCCACUCUUGUGACAUUUCCAGACAGGGCUUACACCGGUCCCCACUCUGGAACAGCCUACUGCCUUCUCCGCCACAUGAAAGGCAAAGCUGUUGAGUGUUCCAGCCCCGCUGGGUCUGAAUUUUUACCAACUGUUUGUUUUAAGUGAAGUAUGAUUCCUAGGUGUGGAGA
rnacentral:lncRNA from 1 species